AUACUUCUUUGAUACAGAAAGAAAAAAAGGACAGCGUGGUCUGUUAUGAAAUGACUGCUGCAGGAGUGUUGGGACAGAAAUACACAAGAAAAGCUAGCGUUACUUUUGUUCAGGAUCUAAGCAAGGGCUUGGAGUCCAAAAGAUGUUCCAGAGCAGUCCCAGCUGCACUAACCCUCUGCCACAGUAGCACUUCAACAUCCACUGUGCCCUACUCGUGACCAUGGCUGGAUUUUGCAACAUAUUUGGCACUGUAUCUGAAAUUUUUAGGCUAGGUAUAAUUUUCAGGUGAAACUCUGGAACAAAAUUUGAGAUCUUCAGCAUGCAGGGCUCUCCUUGUAGGAGCUCUCCCUCUCCCACCCCUGGUUACAUAGAACAAGGAUCAUCUGCUGGAGCUGACGGUUCAAGACACUGCUCUGCAGCAAGAAGGGCAAAGCUUCAGAGCACUUUUGUAACAGCAAACUGCAGCUCAUCCUCGCCUACUGGGCAAA